AGCUCUGGGGUGUUUACAUGUUAGAUUGCAAAUCUAAAGUCGCAGGGUUAACCCCUGCCGGGGCUU
rnacentral:tRNA from 1 species